UACGUAGGGUGCAAGCGUUAAUCGGAAUUACUGGGCGUAAAGCGUGCGCAGGCGGCCGCGCAAGUCGAGUGUGAAAUCCCCGAGCUUAACUUGGGAAUUGCGCUCGAAACUACGUGGCUGGAGUGUGGCAGAGGAAGGUGGAAUUCCACGUGUAGCGGUGAAAUGCGUAGAGAUGUGGAGGAACACCGAUGGCGAAGGCAGCCUUCUGGGCCAACACUGACGCUCAUGCACGAAAGCGUGGGGAGCAAACAGG
rnacentral:rRNA from 1 species